GGACCCGCACAAGUAGUGGAGCAUGUGGUUUAAUUCGAAGAUACGCGCAGAACCUUACCAACACUUGACAUGUUCGUCGCGACUUUAAGAGAUUAAAGUUUUCGGUUCGGCCGGACGAAACACAGGUGCUGCAUGGCUGUCGUCAGCUCGUGUCGUGAGAUGUUGGGUUAAGUCCCGCAACGAGCGCAACCCUCACUUUUAGUUGCCAUCAUUAAGUUGGGCACUCUGAAAGAACUGCCAGUGAUAAGCUGGAGGAAGGUGGGGAUGACGUCAAGUCCUCAUGGCCCUUACGUGUUGGGCUACACACGUGCUACAAUGGUAUCUACAACAGGAAGCAAAACCGCGAGGUUAAGCAAAUCCUCAAAAGAUACCUCAGUUCGGAUUGCACUCUGCAACUCGAGUGCAUGAAGCUGGAAUUACUAGUAAUCGU
rnacentral:rRNA from 1 species